rnacentral:tRNA from 1 species
UACAUGUUAAUGUAAAAGCAUAAAAGAUUUUGAUUCUUUCAGUCUCUAGGAAA